CGGAGACCCACACUGCGCGCAGAGCAGAGCCAGUGGCCACCUGAGCCGGAGUCCGCAGCGGGCGAGCCCGGAGCCGACCAGCCUCAGACACAGAGCUGCCUCCGUACGGUAAGAGACGCCGGGCUGGGGCGAGGGGGUCUCACAGUCGUAGGCAGAGAGGAGGCCAAGACCAUCGAGGCAGCGGGAGAUACUGGUUCCUGCGGGCCAGAUUGAUCGUGCCAUCACCGGAUGCUAACUCACCUACGGGUGGGUCCACUCUGUGCCUCGGCCCCACACUCCCAGAGGGCUACGGUGUCCAGGGCACAGGCUCAGGCACAGCAAAGGCGCAGCCCUGGAAGCCCCUGGCAGUGCUUCCCGAGGGCCUGCGGGAGACAGUGGCCCGUGAGCAGACUAGCAGCUGCGGCAUCCAGGCAUGGGGCCCCACCGCGAAUGGAAACGCUGGCCCCUGGGAAUGGCUGAGGACUUGAGACAUAGCUUCGCGUCACAAGGGUAUUUUUCCCAAACGAAACUGCUUCAUUUGUUCGUUAGUUCGUUAGGGUAGCAAUGCUGCCAAAAAGUAGUAGGGACCGGCCAAAGUCCUGACUUCUUCGCCCAGGACCACGAUGUCCCGCUGUCACCUUCAGAGAUAUCCCAGCCUAUGGUGGCCUGCUCCCUGCGGCAUAGUUCGGACUUUUACUUCCCCUAAGAGAAAACCCAAAUACACCUCGUAAAGUCCAAUAAAAUUGCUCCCGAUGC
rnacentral:lncRNA from 1 species